AUUGAACGCUGGCGGCAGGCUUAACACAUGCAAGUCGAGCGGAGAAAGGUAGCUUGCUACUGAUCUUAGCGGCGGACGGGUGAGUAAUGCUUAGGAAUCUGCCUAUUAGUGGGGGACAACAUUUCGAAAGGAAUGCUAAUACCGCAUACGUCCUACGGGAGAAAGCAGGGGAUCUUCGGACCUUGCGCUAAUAGAUGAGCCUAAGUCGGAUUAGCUAGUUGGUGGGGUAAAGGCCUACCAAGGCGACGAUCUGUAGCGGGUCUGAGAGGAUGAUCCGCCACACUGGGCCUGAGACACGGCCCAGACUCCUACGGGAGGCAGCAGUGGGGAAUAUUGGACAAUGGGCGGAAGCCUGAUCCAGCCAUGCCGCGUGUGUGAAGAAGGCCUUAUGGUUGUAAAGCACUUUAAGCGAGGAGGAGGCUACUUUAGUUAAUACCUAGAGAUAGUGGACGUUACUCGCAGAAUAAGCACCGGCUAACUCUGUGCCAGCAGCCGCCGUAACAC
rnacentral:rRNA from 1 species